AACGAACGCUGGCGGCGUGCCUAACACAUGCAAGUCGGACGCGAAAGGGGGCAACCCCCGGUAGCGUGGCAGACGGGUGAGUAACACGUGGGUAAUCUGCCCUGGAGCCCGGAAUAACUCCCCGAAAGGGGUGCUAAUGCCGGAUAAGACCACGGGGACUUCGGUCCCUGCGGGAAAAGGUGGCCUCUGUAUACAAGCUAUCACUCCUGGAUGAGCCCGCGGCCCAUCAGCUAGCUGGCGGGGUAACGGCCCACCAAGGCUACGACGGGUAGCUGGUCUGAGAGGACGAUCAGCGACACUGGAACUGAGACACGGUCCAGACUCCUACGGGAGGCAGCAGUGGGGAAUCUUGCGCAAUGGGCGAAAGCCUGACGCAGCAACGCCGCGUGUGUGAUGAAGGUCUUCGGAUCGUAAAGCACUGUCGGGAGGGACGAAUAAGGGCCGGGUGAACAAUCCGGUCCGACGACGGUACCUCCAAAGGAAGCACCGGCUAACUCUGUGCCAGCAGCCGCCGUAAUAC
rnacentral:rRNA from 1 species